ACCAGUGGACUCUAUACAUCACAUGAACACUUUUUCAGUUGCUCGUUCCAAAGACCAGCAUAUAUUACAUAUUUUAUGUGACCCCCUGAGAGGUCGCUCAUAAGAAUUACUUUACAUUGGGUCAUUACACAUCUUAAGAUUUGAAAGGUCUUCUCUCAAUGUAGUUUUACAUGCAGCCUCACUAGUUUAUGAUCUUGCUGCUUCAGUGGAUAGACUUGUUGAUUUAACUAGUUGCAGUUUCUCUGGUUGUUAUAGGUAGUAAUUUAAAGGUGGGUAUAUUUGUACACAAAUUGAUUUUAAGCUGUUGUAUGCAAUCCCUAAAAUACAAGGGGGUCUCUGAUCAUUCUUUAUUUAUUUGGAGUUCAGUAAAGAAGAUUUUAUUCAUAUUCACCGGAAUUCCAAACUUGGUGGCAAUCCUAGUGGUCCCACGCUCCCAGAGCUGGACCUUGGAUGAAUCUAGCUCCCACAUGAUCCCAAUCCGUAAGGGAUCAGUUACAUCACAUUCAUGUUGAACGGAUCUUCUAAAAGGAAACAAGUCUUAAAUGCAUAUCCAUUAAAAAAAAGAACGUAAUUAUGCUACAAAAUUGUGUUCUAUAUAUUUUUCAAAGAGAAAAGAUGCUUUUAUCAGAUGGGUCUGGAAUUCUAAAAUUUUUCAUGCAUUCCCAAAAAGUUGAUAUCCAGAUCCCUAAAAUGUAGGUUGUACGAACAGUGAUCCAGACCAUAGGGAGCUUCUUGCCGAUCACUAUCAAACAUUCCAGAUCCCAAUCUCGAUACCAACAACUAUGAUUAUAUUAUUCCAUUCAAUUUUUUAUGUAAGUAGGCUCAUCAAACUAUAAAUUCCAUUUUUUAUGAAAGUAGGCUCAUCAAACUAUAAAUUCAUCCCUUAGAAAAUUCAUGUGCCUAGACAAAAUGCUUUUAUGACUUCUUAUAGUGGGAAGACUUGCUUGUCCCAUGUCAACACUGCGUUGAAAUUUUUUCAUUUUUUUAGUAAAUUUUAUUUUGAAUUUUACUUUCAAUAGAUCCAGGAUACAAAAUCAUCCAAUCAAAGGCAUAUGCUGACUUUUCUAAAAUUCUAGAGAACACCUCUUAUAAACCUCAGAAAAAUUUCAAUGCUUUCUAAAUACAUAAUUAAUUCCCGCAAGAAAGGACUCUCAGCUGUCAUGAGAACACUUCAUAAGAGUCUCUUACACACCAGGUGACCUGCAAACUUAAGGGCCUGUUUGAUAACUGAAAACAAGUUCAUCAACUGUAAAUUGGAAGUUCUUGAAGAACUGUAAAUUAGAAGUUACUUGAGAAGUUCUUGGUUUCAGUGUUUGAUAAUCUCCCUGAGAAGUUAAAAAGUUCCUGGUUUCUGUGUUUGAUAACCUCCUGGGCAGUUAAGAAGUUCCCUGAGAAGUUAAGAAGUUCCUGGUUUCUGUGUUUGAUAACCUCCUGGGAAGUUAAAAAGUUCCUGGUUUCUGUGUUUUAUAACCUCCUGGGAAGUUAAAGAAGUUAUGGGUAUCUGUUUUGGAUUAGAUUAAAAUAGGCAAGAUGUAAAAGGUUAAAAUUGUGACCUAGAUAUUAUUUAUUUUUUAUUAAUUUGUAGAAUAUUAUUU
rnacentral:lncRNA from 1 species